rnacentral:tRNA from 1 species
CACUACUUUAACAGAAACAAGCCCUAAAUKAGCAUUAACCUUUUAAGUUAAAGACAGGGAGUGCACUCCCCAUAGUGA